UACGUAGGGUGCAAGCGUUGUCCGGAAUUAUUGGGCGUAAAGAGCUCGUAGGCGGCUUGUUGCGUCGACUGUGAAAAACCCGCGGCUUAACCGCGGGCUUGCAGUUGAUACGGGCAGACUAGAGGUAUGCAGGGGGAGAACGGAAUUCCUGGUGUAGCGGUGAAAUGCGCAGAUAUCAGGAGGAACACCGGUGGCGAAGGCGGUUCUCUGGGCAUUACCUGACGCUGAGGAGCGAAAGUGUGGGGAGCGAACAGG
rnacentral:rRNA from 1 species